AUUGAACGCUGGCGGCAUGCCUUACACAUGCAAGUCGAACGGCAGCACGGGAGCAAUCCUGGUGGCGAGUGGCGAACGGGUGAGUAAAGUAUCGGAACGUGCCCAGUCGUGGGGGAUAACGUAGCGAAAGUUACGCGAAUACCGCAUACGAUCUAUGGAUGAAAGCGGGGGAUCGCAAGACCUCGCGCGAUUGGAGCGGCCGAGAUCAGAUUAGGUAGUUGGUGGGGUAAAGGCUCACCAAGCCGACGAUCUGUAGCUGGUCUGAGAGGACGACCAGCCACACUGGGACUGAGACACGGCCCAGACUCCUACGGGAGGCAGCAGUGGGGAAUUUUGGACAAUGGGCGCAAGCCUGAUCCAGCCAUGCCGCGUGCAGGAUGAAGGCCUUCGGGUUGUAAACUGCUUUUGUACGGAACGAAAAGGUUUGACUUACUACGUUGGACUCAUGACGGUACCGUAAGAAUAAGCACCGGCUAACUACGUGCCAGCCGCCGCUGUAA
rnacentral:rRNA from 1 species